rnacentral:rRNA from 1 species
UACGAAGGGGGCUAGCGUUGCUCGGAAUUACUGGGCGUAAAGGGCGCGUAGGCGGAUGUUUAAGUCAGGCGUGAAAGCCCUGGGCUCAACCCGGGAAUUGCGCUUGAGACUGGUGUGCUCGAGUACGGGAGAGGAUAGUGGAAUUCCCAGUGUAGAGGUGAAAUUCGUAGAUAUUGGGAAGAACACCAGUGGCGAAGGCGGCUAUCUGGACCGUAACUGACGCUGAGGCGCGAAAGCGUGGGGAGCAAACAGG